AUGAGAUUAAAAUUAUUAAAUAUAAUUUUAUCAAUAAUAAAUAAACUUAAUAAUAAUAAUAAUAUUAUUAUUAAUAAUCUAUUAGAUUCAUUAAUAAAUAAGAAAUUAUUAUUAAAGAAUAUAUUAUUAGAUAUAAAUAAUAAAAAAAUAAAUAAUAUAAAAAGAAUAUUAAAUAAUAAUAAUAUAAAUAUUAAUAAUAAAUUACAACAUUAAAUAAUAUAAAUAAUUGAAAUCUACAAAUUUAUAAUUAUAAUAAAAAUAUAGAAAUUAUAAAUACUAUAAAUGAUAAAUUAAUUAAUAAAUUAUUAUAUAAAAUAAUAACUUUAAAAUUAAAUAAUAUAAAUAUUAAUAAAAUUAUUAUAAGUAAACUUAUUAAUCAACAUAGUUUAAAUAAAUUAAAUAUUAAAUUUUAUUAUUAUAAUAAUGAUAUUAAUAAUAAUAAUAAUAAUAAUAAUAAUAAUAAUAAUUAUUAUAUAAAUAUAAUAAAUAAAUUAAUAAAUAUUAUAAAUAAUAAUAUAAAUAAUAAUUUAUGUAAUAUUUUAAGUUAUUAUUAUAAUAAAAAAGUAACUAUUGAACCUAUUAAAUUAUCAUAUAUUUAUUUAAAUAGUGAUAUUUUUAGUAAAUAUAUUAGUUUAAAUGAUAUAGAUAAAUAUAAUAAUGGUAUCUUAACUAAUUAUCAACGUAUAUUAAAUAAUAUUAUGCCUAAAUUAAAUGAUCAUAAUAUUUCUAUAAAUUAUAUUAAUAAUAUUAAUAAUAUUAAUAAUAAUAAAUAUAAUAAUAUAAUUAAUUUAUUAAAUAAUAAUAAUAAUAAUAAUAAUAAUAUUAAUAAUAAUAAUAAUUAUAAUAAUAAUAAUAAUAAUUAUAUUGGUAAUAUUAAUAAUAUUUAUAAUAAUAUAACUAUUGAUAAUAUUCCUAUAGAUAUUUUAAUAUAUAAAUAUUUAGUUGGUUGAUCUAUUAAAUUUAAAGGUAGAUUAAGUAAUAAUAAUGGUAGAACUAGUACACUUAAUUUAUUAAAUGGUACUUUUAAUAAUAAAAAAUAUUUAUGAAGUAAUAUUAAUAAUAAUUAUAAAUUAAAUUAUAUCCCUUCUAAUCAUAAUUUAUAUAAUAAUUCUAAUAUUAAUAAAAAUGGUAAAUAUAAUAUUAAAGUUAAAUUAAACUUUAUUUAA
rnacentral:rRNA from 1 species